AUUGAACGCUGGCGGCAGGCCUAACACAUGCAAGUCGAACGAGUGGCGGACGGGUGAGUAAUGUCUGGGAAACUUCCCGAUGGAGGGGGAUAACUUCUGGAAACCGUGGCUAAUACCGCAUAUUAUUGGAUGUUCCCAGGUGGGAUUCGCUUGUAGGUGAGGUAACGGCUCACCUGGGCAACGAUCCCUAGCUGGUCUGAGAGGAUGACCAGCCACACUGGAACUGAGACACGGUCCAGACUCCUACGGGAGGCAGCAGUGGGGAAUAUUGCACAAUGGGCGCAAGCCUGAUGCAGCCAUGCCGCGUGUGUGAAGAAGGUCUUCGGAUUGUAAAGCACUUUAAGUUGGGAGGCGUUACCAACAGAAUAAGCACCGGCUAACUUCGUGCCAGCAGCCGCGGUAAUAC
rnacentral:rRNA from 1 species